UACGUAGGGUGCAAGCGUUGUCCGGAAUUAUUGGGCGUAAAGAGCUCGUAGGCGGUUUGUUGCGUCGGCUGUGAAAUCCCGAGGCUCAACCUCGGGUCUGCAGUCGAUACGAGCAAACUAGAGUGUUGCAGGGGAGACUGGAAUUCCUGGUGUAGCGGUGAAAUGCGCAGAUAUCGGGAGGAACACCAGUAGCGAAGGCGACACUCUGGGCCGGUACUGACGCUGAGGAGCGAAAGCGUGGGGAGCAAACAGG
rnacentral:rRNA from 1 species